CUUCAUACCACAAGAAAUGGAAGCCGCAAGGCUGAGUGUGGGGAAUCCGGUGUGAAUCCGGAGCUGUUCCGCAACUGUAUGGGGAGUCCUGCCAUCGUACGUCUCUCACAAAGAGAUGGCAGGAUGAUGAGCUAAGUCAGAGUGCCGCCUGUUUUCUUUUCGUCACG
rnacentral:ncRNA from 2 species